rnacentral:rRNA from 1 species
ACUUUCCAGCACGGUCCGUAAAGAAAUUCCCAUUUUUCAAGAGGGACCUUUUUAAUUAAGCGUGUUAGGACAAGAGUAGUCCUAGGAUGGGUGACCUCUUGGGAAGUUUGGGCGUC